rnacentral:rRNA from 1 species
UGGAGCCGGUUUUUUUAAAUUUUUUAACCAGCUCAGGACGAACGCUGGCGGCGUGCCUAAUACAUGCAAGUCGAGCGAACAGAGAAGGAGCUUGCUCCUUCGACGUUAGCGGCGGACGGGUGAGUAACACGUGGGCAACCUACCUUAUAGUUUGGGAUAACUCCGGGAAACCGGGGCUAAUACCGAAUAAUCUGUUUCACCUCAUGGUGAAACACUGAAAGACGGUUUCGGCUGUCGCUAUAGGAUGGGCCCGCGGCGCAUUAGCUAGUUGGUGAGGUAACGGCUCACCAAGGCGACGAUGCGUAGCCGACCUGAGAGGGUGAUCGGCCACACUGGGACUGAGACACGGCCCAGACUCCUACGGGAGGCAGCAGUAGGGAAUCUUCCACAAUGGGCGAAAGCCUGAUGGAGCAACGCCGCGUGAGUGAAGAAGGAUUUCGGUUCGUAAAACUCUGUUGUAAGGGAAGAACAAGUACAGUAGUAACUGGCUGUACCUUGACGGUACCUUAUUAGAAAGCCACGGCUAACUACGUGCCAGCAGCCGCGGUAAUACGUAGGUGGCAAGCGUUGUCCGGAAUUAUUGGGCGUAAAGCGCGCGCAGGUGGUUUCUUAAGUCUGAUGUGAAAGCCCACGGCUCAACCGUGGAGGGUCAUUGGAAACUGGGAGACUUGAGUGCAGAAGAGGAUAGUGGAAUUCCAAGUGUAGCGGUGAAAUGCGUAGAGAUUUGGAGGAACACCAGUGGCGAAGGCGACUAUCUGGUCUGUAACUGACACUGAGGCGCGAAAGGACGGCC